rnacentral:rRNA from 1 species
GCAAGGGGAGUGGCAGACGGGUGAGUAACACGUGGGAACGUGCCCAAAGGUACGGAACAACUCCGGGAAACUGGAGCUAACACCGUAUGUGCCCGCAAGGGGAAAGAUUUAUCGCCUUUGGAUCGGCCCGCGUCUGAUUAGCUAGUUGGUAGGGUAACGGCCUACCAAGGCUACGAUCAGUAGCUGGUCUGAGAGGAUGACCAGCCACACUGGGACUGAGACACGGCCCAGACUCCUACGGGAGGCAGCAGUGGGGAAUAUUGGACAAUGGGCGCAAGCCUGAUCCAGCCAUGCCGCGUGAGUGAUGAAGGCCCUAGGG